rnacentral:Y_RNA from 1 species
GGCUGGUCCAAGUGCAGUGGUAUUUACAACUAACUGAUCACAACUAGUUGCAGAUUUCUUUGUUCCUUGCCACUCCCAUUGCUUCCCCAGACUAGUCUUUA